rnacentral:misc_RNA from 1 species
GAUGAAGAACGUAGUGAAAUGCGAUAAGUAAUGUGAAUUGCAGAGUUCAGUGAAUCAUCGAAUCUUUGAACGCACAUUGCGCCCGUCAGUAUUCUGACGGGCAUGCCUGUCCGAGCGUCAUUUCAACCCUCAAGCACUGCUUGGCGUUGGCGGAUUGCGUGCCCUCGCGGCGCUGCAACCGCCCAAAUACAGUGGCGGUCCCGCUGCGGCUCCCUUUGCGUAGUAACUCACCUCGCACUGGACCGGGCGGCGGCCUGCCGUAAAACCCCAACUCACGAAAUGUUGACCUCGGAUCAGGUAGGUAUACCCGCUGAACUUAAGCAUAUCAAUAAGCGGAGG